UUUGAUUCUGGCUCAGGACGAACGCUGGCGGCGUGCUUAACACAUGCAAGUCGAGCGAUGAAGCACCUUCGGGUGUGAAUUAGCGGCGAACGGGUGAGGAACACGUGAAGAAUCUGCCUUCAACUCUGGGAUAACUCCGGGAAACCGGGGCUAAUACCGGAUAUGAGCCUUGAUCGCAUGAUCGGGGCUGGAAAGUUUUUCGGUUGAAGAUGACUUCGCGGCCUAUCAGCUUGUUGGUGAGGUAAUGGCUCACCAAGGCGACGACGGGUAGCCGGCCUGAGAGGGCGACCGGCCACACUGGGACUGAGACACGGCCCAGACUCCUACGGGAGGCAGCAGUGGGGAAUAUUGGGCAAUGGAGGAAACUCUGACCCAGCGACGCCGCGUGAGGGAUGAAGGCCUUCGGGUUGUAAACCUCUUUCAGUAGGGAAGAAGCGAAAGUGACGGUACCUACAGAAGAAGCACCGGCUAACUAUGUGCCAGCAGCCGCGGUAAUACAUAGGGUGCAAGCGUUGUCCGGAAUUAUUGGGCGUAAAGAGCUCGUAGGUGGUUCGAUACGUCGGAUGUGAAAAUCAGGGGCUCAACCCCUGACCUGCAUCCGAUACGGUCGAGCUAGAGUUUGGUAGGGGAGACUGGAAUUCCUGGUGUAGCGGUGGAAUGCGCAGAUAUCAGGAGGAACACCGAUGGCGAAGGCAGGUCUCUGGGCCAAUACUGACACUGAGGAGCGAAAGCGUGGGGAGCGAACAGGAUUAGAUACCCUGGUAGUCCACGCCGUAAACGGUGGGCGCUAGUUGUGCGAACCUUCCACGGUUUGUGCGACGCAGCUAACGCAUUAAGCGCCCCGCCUGGGGAGUACGAUAGCAAGAUUA
rnacentral:rRNA from 1 species